rnacentral:rRNA from 1 species
GUAGCUUUGCACUGGACUUUGAGCCUGCUUGUGUAGGAUAGGUGGGAGGCUUUGAAGCGUGGACGCCAGUUCGCGUGGAGCCAUCCUUGAAAUACCACCCUGGCAUGCUUGAGGUUCUAACUCUGGUCCGUGAUCCGGAUCGAGGACAGUGUAUGGUGGGCAGUUUGACUGGGGCGGUCUCCUCCUAAAGAGUAACGGAGGAGUACGAAGGUGCGCUCAGACCGGUCGGAAAUCGGUCGCAGAGUAUAAAGGCAAAAGCGCGCUUGACUGCGAGACAGACACGUCGAGCAGGUACGAAAGUAGGUCUUAGUGAUCCGGUGGUUCUGUAUGGAAGGGCCAUCGCUCAACGGAUAAAAGGUACUCCGGGGAUAACAGGCUGAUACCGCCCAAGAGUUCAUAUCGACGGCGGUGUUUGGCACCUCGAUGUCGGCUCAUCACAUCCUGGGGCUGAAGCCGGUCCCAAGGGUAUGGCUGUUCGCCAUUUAAAGUGGUACGCGAGCUGGGUUUAGAACGUCGUGAGACAGUUCGGUCCCUAUCUGCCGUGGACGUUUGAGAUUUGAGAGGGGCUGCUCCUAGUACGAGAGGACCGGAGUGGACGAACCUCUGGUGUUCCGGUUGUCACGCCAGUGGCAUUGCCGGGUAGCUAUGUUCGGAAAAGAUAACCGCUGAAAGCAUCUAAGCGGGAAACUUGCCUCAAGAUGAGAUCUCACUGGGAACUUGAUUCCCCUGAAGGGCCGUCGAAGACUACGACGUUGAUAGGCUGGGUGUGUAAGCGUUGUGAGGCGUUGAGCUAACCAGUACUAAUUGCCCGUGAGGCUUGACCAU